rnacentral:rRNA from 2 species
GAGUAAUGUCUGGGAAACUGCCUGAUGGAGGGGGAUAACUACUGGAAACGGUGGCUAAUACCGCAUAACGUCGCAAGACCAAAGAGGGGGACCUUCGGGCCUCUUGCCAUCAGAUGUGCCCAGAUGGGAUUAGCUUGUUGGUGAGGUAACGGCUCACCAAGGCGACGAUCCCUAGCUGGUCUGAGAGGAUGACCAGCCACACUGGAACUGAGACACGGUCCAGACUCCUACGGGAGGCAGCAGUGGGGAAUAUUGCACAAUGGGCGCAAGCCUGAUGCAGCCAUGCCGCGUGUAUGAAGAAGGCCUUCGGGUUGUAAAGUACUUUCAGCGGGGAGGAAGGUGUUGUGGUUAAUAACCGCAGCAAUUGACGUUACCCGCAGAAGAAGCACCGGCUAACUCCGUGCCAGCAGCCGCGGUAAUACGGAGGGUGCA